CUCAACAUCUCUGUUUAUAAGGCCCUACAUUUUGACUGAGAAGACACCUGAACUUUCUGAAUACUUUUUGAGGAAGGCAGAGGUCAUCUUCUCUCUGCUGACUUUGAACUGCAGUGAGACUACCAGAGCACCACCAUUGUCCAGGUCAUCAUGGGAGUCAUGACUGUGUCUGUUCUUUUCUGUGUCCUCCUCACCUUCCUGGGGACCGAGGUGACUGGGAGGUCUCCCCCAAGGUAUCCCAAUUUACCCAAACCAGUGGAGAGAUUUGCAAGAAGAUCUGAACCAAUUACAGAUCUGUACCAGUGUCCAUCUGGGUUUUCUCGACCCAACCAUUUCUGGAGCACUUGCUACCGUUUCGACAGGAGUUUGAAGUCAACGUCGGAGGCAAAUAAUGCAUGCCGUCAAAGAGGUGGAUCCCUUGCUUCUAUCACUAACAGUAAGGUGUACGAGUAUGCUCUUUCCCUGGUAGACGAUGGAUAUAUCUGGGUUGAGGGGAGCCAUGAGUCUGGAUUUCCCCAGAAGAACUGGUUGAAAGGCUCUGUGCGUGACCAGAAUGGAAAGCAUGAGGGCUGCUUGGCAUUGGUGAAAUUUGGUGAAAAAACAGGUUUUGAUGAUAUCAGCUGUUCCGGAUUGGUCAACACUUUAGUCCUCUCUCUGCGAGAUAGAAGCGUCUUAAUUCUUCGUGUAAGAAGGCCAAACAGAGAGUGGAUUUUGCCAAUACUCUCUGUUUUAUUUUUCAACUAUCGCUCCAAAUUGUUCUGAAUUGACUUUAAGUCUAAUACUCAGAGACAAUAUCAUGAAAAGUGAUGUAAUGGCUACAGAUUCAUACAUAAUGACACAUUGAUUCAAUUGUAUUUCACGUGGCCUUUUUUCUACUGAAAUUAAUACUGGUUUUGCAAUGGAAUUGUCACUGUAGUAUUCUGGAAGCUAUCUUGAAGAUACUGUACCAAACAUGUGGGUACAUACAAAAAGGUUUGAUUCCCUUACAAUCCCAUUUCAAGAUGAAUUAUAUAAUUAUGAAAACAUACAGUUAUUCUCAAUACUUACUCUAACGGUGGAAAUAGUCUAUAUCCAUUAUUUCUGGAACAUCUAUUGAAUUUGUGAACUUGUUGUGCCAUGUACAUCCCUCCUUGCUUCCUUGCAUAUCUUUUUGAAUAAAAACAUUCAGCAUCA